GUCGCUGCAAAAUCAGCGAUCGGGUUUGGUCGCCCGAGAAAAUACAGGCGCAACAGCGCCCCCAUUACGAUUGCAGGCGCUUUUUUU
rnacentral:sRNA from 1 species